UACGUAGGGGGCAAGCGUUGUCCGGAAUCAUUGGGCGUAAAGCGCGUGUAGGCGGCCCGGUAAGUCCGCUGUGAAAGUCCAGGGCUCAACCCUGGGAUGCCGGUGGAUACUGUCGGGCUCGAGUCCGGAAGAGGCGAGUGGAAUUCCUGGUGUAGCGGUGAAAUGCGCAGAUAUCAGGAGGAACACCAAUUGCGAAGGCAGCUCGCUGGGACGUUACUGACGCUGAGACGCGAAAGCGUGGGGAGCGAACAGG
rnacentral:rRNA from 1 species